rnacentral:tRNA from 1 species
GCCAGAGUGGUGAAACUGGUAUACACGCACGACUCAAAAUCGUGUGCCGCAAGGCAUGUGGGUUCGACUCCCACCUCUGGCACCA